rnacentral:rRNA from 1 species
CCGCACACGCGCUACACUGAAGGAGACAACGUGUUUGUCUGGCUCGAAAGAGUCGGGUAACCCGUUUAAUCUCCUUCGUGCUGGGGAUUGAGGUUUGCAAUUGUCCCUCAUGAACGAGGAAUUCCCAGUAAGUGCAAGUCAUAAGCUUGCGCUGACUACGU